GACGAACGCUGGCGGCGUGCUUAACACAUGCAAGUGGAGCGACGAACCGGGCUUCGGCCCGGGGCAAAGCCGCGAACGGGUGAGUAACACGUGGGUAACCUGCCCCGAUGACCGGGACAACCCGAGGAAACUCGGGCUAAUACCGGAUGUGCUCGCAGCACAUCAGUGCAGCGAGUAAAGGAAGCUUCGGCCUCCGCAUUGGGGAUGGGCCCGCGGCCCAUUAGCUUGUUGGUGAGGAAAAGCUCACCAAGGCAACGAUGGGUAGCUGGUCUGAGAGGAC
rnacentral:rRNA from 1 species